rfam:Enterococcus phoeniculicola ATCC BAA-412 genomic scaffold acvKl-supercont1.5, whole genome shotgun sequence.
GUGGAGUGGGAAUAAAGAGUCAACAUAAUAUGAAUGGGGAAUGCCGAUAAAUCAACGUUUUUCAACUUAUGAAAUGCUUGAUUUUCAUUAAAAAUGAUAUGGUUCCCUACCAUUUUCCCUACCAAAAUAAAACCCUGCUAAGAUGUUUCUUGGCAGGGAAUUUUUU